rnacentral:rRNA from 1 species
AACGAACGCUGGCGGCGUGCCUAAUACAUGCAAGUCGAGCGCAGGAAACUGACGGAACUCUUCGGAGGGAAGGCAGUGGAAUGAGCGGCGGACGGGUGAGUAACACGUAAGGAACCUGCCUCAAGGAUUGGGAUAACUCCGAGAAAUCGGAGCUAAUACCGGAUAGUUCAUCGGACCGCAUGGUCCAUUGAUGAAAGGCGCUUCGGCGUCACCUUGAGAUGGCCUUGCGGUGCAUUAGCUAGUUGGUGGGGUAACGGCCCACCAAGGCGACGAUGCAUAGCCGACCUGAGAGGGUGAUCGGCCACACUGGGACUGAGACACGGCCCAGACUCCUGCGGGAGGCAGCAGUAGGGAAUCUUCCACAAUGGACGAAAGUCUGAUGGAGCAACGCCGCGUGAGUGAUGAAGGUUUUCGGAUCGUAAAACUCUGUUGUAAGGGAAGAACACGUACGAGAGGGAAUGCUCGUACCUUGACGGUACCUUACGAGAAAGCCACGGCUAACUACGUGCCAGCAGCCGCGGUAA